GACUGCUCGUUCGUGUGCCCUUGCUGUGUGAAGAUGUUUGCGUUUGUGCAAUAUAAAUUCGAUGGCAAGACGGCUGUCGUGAAGCUCUCCGCUAUAAAGGAUUUCACUCCUAAAAACGUUACCGAUUUUGAGUCUACUGGCCUGGGGACGAAGACACCAUCGGCGAUUUUUAUGAAGCGCGGAUCCUGCAUCUCGCUGAAUCUGAGGAAGAGAUGGAGGCAUAGAAGGAAAAGCGUCCCAGGAAGGUUUUGGUGGACUUGCCACGAGGAAAGAAAAGGAGCAAGGAAAUGAAAGCCGAGUUGUCUAUGCCACAUCGUUUGAUGUGUCAGUGCGAGCUCAACAGUACCCUGUGACACCUCCGAAUAUUAGAGGCAAGUUCUACCUUCUGCUGUGUGAUCUAGUUUGAUGUUUAUUACUAGCACUAUCUUGUUUUGUGCAGUUUGUGCAGUAAGGUGUUUCGAAAUAGAACAAAGGAUGACUAAAAAAACAUCUUUUCUGUAUUUGAUGUACAGUAAGGACUGUUAUGUGUUAUAUUGGACUGACAUUCCAACAGGAGUGCUUGUAUAGCAUGCAAUGAUUGCCGUUUAGAAGCAUCAGUCAUCCUUAUUUUAUACCCGGUACAUAGGUACUGUUAAAGGAGCCCUGAAAACUUUUUAUCGAAAUCGAGAAAUGCGCUUGAAGUCACAAUAGACUAUAUCAUAAAUACUUUGCAGCAAAAAGUGCUUCAAUGCGUUCAGCAGAAGCGAAGUUAUCAGCAGCCAAAAAUCGCCUUUAAUCCCCUUCGUGGUGCUCAGGCUCCUUCAAUGCCGUGCACUGUAAAGGCUAUGCCAAGCACGCUUGUCCUCAGUGAGGCGCAGUGAGCUGAGCGAGUGGGCUCAUUGCGGCACCCAAGGGCAACUGUGGUAUUUUUUAUGUGUAGCAGAUGCAGCCACUUGUAGUGGUAAUGCAUCUGCACAGCAUUUGUCUGUGCGCAAUAGGGCUUGAGUGCAUGCUUGGGCUCAUGUGCUCCAAUCUGCCUAAGUUACGCAGUGUGGACCAGCUUUGGCCUGAACCAGCUUGACCGAAGGAUAGUACCACAUCCAAUUUGCGCAUUUUGAGGCAAUAUCGAUAGCUCAGUAUGAAGUGAUGUCUGCCAAGGCAUCUAACCAGGAGUGAGCACGUGCUGGCAAAUGUACGUGGGGUCUGACCUUAAGUUUCACAUAGUUCAAGGCUAGUUGAAUGUUCAAAACAAAUUGAAAUAAUGAGACCGAAUGGCUACAACACCGAUAAGAAGUGUGGUCAGUUUAAUUUCUACGCUGCACAAGAACAGACAAUAGUAGGCUUCCUGAAAUACGUAAAUUCGAAAGCAUAUUUUUGCUAACUUCAGCUUGUUUAUUAAACAGUAUUAAUAAAUAUACACAGUAACAAUAGGAAGAAUUACACUGAUCCAAACACCCUUCUCGAUUGAUGUCAGCUAUUGGCCAAUAGCAGCCCUCUAUUGGAAUAUGCUAUAUGACGAAAUGUAGCACCCGCAAAGAGAGAGAAGGCUUCUGUUGAAAAGAGUGUUUCAAAAAAAGGUGAAUUCAUGCUCCGCUUGUGAGCUCCAUGUGCACAACUGCGAAAUUUGACAGACAUUCACAGCAGCGUAUGCGAUCUGG